ACUUUGACUCUGGCCUCAAAUCAGGUAGGACUACCCGCUGAACUUAAGCAUAUCAAUAAGCGGAGGA
rnacentral:rRNA from 1 species